UACGGAGGGUGCGAACGUUAAUCGGAAUCACUGGGCGUAAAGCGCGCGUAGGCGGUCUGUUAAGUGGGAUGUGAAAUCCCCGGGCUUAACCUGGGAAUUGCAUUUCAAACUGGCCGACUAGAGUACGGUAGAGGGAGGUAGAAUUUCCUGUGUAGCAGUGAAAUGCGUAGAGAUGUGGAGGAACACCGAUGGCGAAGGCAGCCCCCUGGGUUAACACUGACGCUCAGGCACGAAAGCGUGGGGA
rnacentral:rRNA from 1 species